AGCUCAAGUGAUCUGCCUGUUUAGGCCUUCUAAAGUGCCGGGAUUACAGGCGUAAGCCAUUGCACCUGGCCUCACACUGGAAUUUUCUACGCACCUGAUGAGGAGGAAUAUGUACCAAGGAACAGUAAGUGCUAUGUCAAAGGAGAAGAAGAAAUGACAACAUAUUGCUGGAAGGGAAUGCAAGUCAAACAAUAAGUGGAAGACUCUUGAGCUUAGUCACCCAGGUUAUGACAUGAAGGUCAGUUUGGUCUCUCUCUUCAUUUCCUCCCGCCCCACGGGGAGUCAUCUGCUUGAGGAAGGAAAGACACAUUGCCGGGCUACAGCGCAGGGCCCAUUGUCAUGCUGAGCCACCCUUGCUUCCCUGCAGGCCUCCUGAGUCGCAGCCUAGGAAUGUAGCAAGAGUAGGAUUUCCAGCUCCUAGAAGACAGAAAUCAUGUUGUUCAUCUUUUGCAUCCUUCCCAGAAUCUAGUGGAGCACUGAGCAUCAUAAGCCCAGACCCUCUUUAGCACAUGGCUCCAGCCACCAUUUCUAUACUGAGAAUACUCAGAGAUAUGUCUCCAGAUCAGAGACGUUUGGCAAGUUCUGGAUGGGUGAGUCUGUUCUUGCGUUGCUAUAAAGAACUACCUGAGACUGGGUAAUUUAUAAAGAAAAGAGGUUUAAUUGGUUCACUGUUCUGCAGGGGGUACAGGUAUGGCACCAGCAUCUGCUCAGCUAUUGGUGAGGCCUCAGGAAGCUUACAAUCAUGACACAAGGUCAAGGGGAGCCAGCGUGUCACAUAGCAAGAGAGGGAGCAAGAGAGAGAAGGCAAAGUUGUCAGCCUCUUUUCAAUGACCAGAUCUCAUGUGAA
rnacentral:lncRNA from 1 species